UUUGUUUUGUUGCAUAAUGGUUCUGUAGGGCAGACUUGGAUAUCUGAAAUGAUGUACCUAGAAUGAGAUACCUUUAUAUAUGAAGUGCCUUAAUUUCCCAUAUGCCAAGCAAUUUUGCUCAACAGGACUUGUGGUUCCUCAACAUUUCUAAAAAUGUUGUCAGGAACCUAAAUCUUGGUCUCUAAAAAGCAAUGUGAAAAGUAGAACUUCAAGCAUUUAUUGUAUGAAUAUUUUGGGUAGACAUGUAAAAAAAAGUUGCAUUUUUAAAAUCUGUUUUUUAAAUGCUGCAUGAACAGUUUACAGAUACUGUAUAUAUGAAGUUAUGCCAAAUGACCUAAAGUACCUUGCAGGGUGGGGAUGAACUUUGGGAAUAUAUAAAAUAGGAUAUCUUCUACUUAGUUAAUAAAAGCAGAAACCUCUUUCUUUAUUAUGUCAUCCUGAAAUAAAUGUUUUUAUUUCUGCAUGAGUUGUUUAUACAUCUGCAGUACAGUUGUGCCUUGAAAUCCAAAACCUUAUUUUAAAGCUGUUAACAACAAGCAACAAAUAGAGCAUGCCCUGCUUAUUUCUGAGGAGCUGUAUUUAAUUUACUGAAAUUGAUGCAGUAACUCCAUCCAGCCAGUUAGAGUGGGUAUAAAUUCAACUUUUCAGAAUUGUCCAAAGGAUUUGAAGAUUUCCGUGUGUUAUGUUACCUUUUGCACAUUUUUCUGGAGCACUCUUACUUUUGACUAAUUUCAUCAAUAGAAAGUUGUACUACUUUCAUCGUUAUAACACCUGAGUGCCUUACAAUGCUAUGGUAAGAAACAUAUUUAAUACCUCUCACAAAAAUGGUUUAAUCGUCCCCCAAGGGGAAAACUCAUGACGAAUCGUGCUGUGUAAUCACAUCAGAAAAGGCAGGUGGAAGAAAUGCACAGUGCUGUUGGAGAGGAGAGGCAUCACAGUUUGCUUCUCUGACAUGCUUUCCUUUUUCUGUUCCCAAGGAACAGAACAACUUCAGUUAGGAAGCUGAUCUGGACAGUUGUUAUAUGUUCACAGAGAACAGACCCCACCCCCCCCCCCC